rnacentral:rRNA from 1 species
GACGAACGCUGGCGGCGUGCUUAACACAUGCAAGUCGAACGGAAAGGCCCUGCUUUUGUGGGGUGCUCGAGUGGCGAACGGGUGAGUAACACGUGAGUAACCUGCCCUUGACUUUGGGAUAACUUCAGGAAACUGGGGCUAAUACAGGAUAGGAGCUCCUGCUGCAUGGUGGGGGUUGGAAAGUCUCGGCGGUCGGGGAUGGACUCGCGGCUUAUCAGCUUGUUGGUGGGGGAGUGGCUUACCAAGGCAUUGACGGGUAGCCGGCCUGAGAGGGUGACCGGCCACAUUGGGACUGAGAUACGGCCCAGACUCCUACGGGAGGCAGCAGUGGGGAAUAUUGCACAAUGGGCGGAAGCCUGAUGCAGCAACGCCGCGUGCGGGAUGACGGCCUUCGGGUUGUAAACCGCUUUCGCCUGUGACGAAGCGUGAGUGACGGUAAUGGAUAAAGAAGCACCGGCUAACUACGUG